GGAGAGAGAAGUCAACCAGAGAAACACACCAACCCAUUGCACUCCGGGUUGGUGGUAUAUUACCUGGUACGGGGGAAACUUCGUGGUGGCCG
rnacentral:ribozyme from 1 species